rnacentral:rRNA from 1 species
UACGUAGGGGGCUAGCGUUGUCCGGAAUCAUUGGGCGUAAAGCGCGUGUAGGCGGCCCGAUAAGUCCGCUGUGAAAGUCGGGGGGCUCAACCCUCGGAUGCCGGUGGAUACUGUCGGGCUCGAGUACGGAAGAGGCGAGUGGAAUUCCGUGGUGUAGCGGUGAAAUGCGCAGAUAUCAGGAGGAACACCGGUGGCGAAGGCGGUUCUCUGGGCCUUACCUGACGCUGAGGAGCGAAAGCGUGGGGAGCGAACAGG